rfam:Eubacterium limosum KIST612, complete genome.
CAAACAAAGCAGAGGUGUCCACUUCUCACCUGGUCUUUUAACAAGGCGGGUUCAUAGCAAUUUAAGUAAUUGAUUGUUUAAUGCAGGUGGACUAUGUCUACCUGCAUUUUUGUUUAAUA